rnacentral:tRNA from 24 species
CGGGAGAUGGCUGAGCGGUCGAAAGCGGCGGUCUUGAAAACCGUUGAGGUGUGAAAGCCUCCUGGGGUUCGAAUCCCUAUCUCCCGGCCA